rnacentral:lncRNA from 1 species
ACCAUACUGGGAUUGUGCCUGCAACAGCUUAGCAUCAAUACCAACCUUGUGCUGUGAUUGGACGACAUAAGGGUUCGGGUUCAGCUCAGCUGGCUUUGCGGAGUUGCAUUGUGUUGGGGCAAACUGCGGUUUUGGCUGAGAAGCAGGUUCUGUACCACAACCACCACGCUUCUCUUGGUUCAUGGUGUUAGGAUGGAAGAAACCGUUAGGAGAUGCGGUCUGUGGAGGGGGUACUGUGCUUCUGUAAUAAGAUGUCCUUGCAUCAUGGGACGACUCUUUGAGGUUCCUGUUGUUCGCAUAAGUUACAGAUGAUGAUUCCACAGCACGGCCUGGUCUAGCAGAUGGUACUCUUGGAGGAGGUCGUAAAGGUUUAGUUGGAUUAGCUGAAGUUGAUGGAACCACUCCAUUUCUUGAAGGCUCGAAAGAAACACGUCGACUGUCUGGUGCAUUCAAGCCAGGUUGAGCAUUGGAGCUUACUACACUGGAGUGGACUGUAGACCUACAAAGAUGAACAUGAAGAGAUUAAUCACAAGUGCCAUACUGAAUCAAUCUGCACAGAAGAGAAAACAAUACCGAGGAAGUGAAGUAUGCUUUCUCUCUGGAGGUAUGACUGGCCCACUUUUGCCGCUAUUCUCUUCUAGGUACGCAAACUGUUUCCUCAGAUGACCAAUGGCACUGCAACAUCAAAAUCAAUCUAUCAGCAAAAAUGAAAAAUGAGAAAAAAUGGUUUUGAAAGAUGCAAGUAAGAACCUAGGAUAUAAGAAACUAGAGCCUUCAGAUCCGUUCAUAUAAUCCUUGAGCAGCUGAGGAUGGUAUUCUAGUAUCUCCCUGUAUAUCAGCUCUCUAAUGUCAUCCUUUGUUAACCUUCUUCGUUCAAACUCAAAUUCCAUCUUCGAGAUUUGCUGACAAGAAGGUUCCCUUUCAAUCUUAGCAAGACCCUUAAAGUAAGGAUCAGCCAGGGCCUGUCAAAUAACAUCACAAUGUUAAGGAGCUGAGAUAUAAACAAGAGCCUAUCCUUGAUAUGAACAAGAAGAGAAAGGAAGGAAGCAAGACACCUCUGUAGCAGUUGGCCUAUCCUUUGGAUCAAAAGCCAACAGUCUCUGCAAAAGGCGCAAUGCUGAAGGAUCUGCGUUAGGAAACUUUUGCGUAAAGGGGACUGGACUCUUCUUCCUCAUUUCCCCCAGGUAUUUUCUAGCUUUUUCAUUUCGAACCUGCGUUACAGAUAAUAUAUCAUUAGUUUAUGCAAAAAUGAACAUACUCCAGCAAACAAAAAUAGAAACUUGGUAAUGAGGAAAACAUACUCCAGCGAUGGUCUCUGAUUUUGGUGUGCCAAGAAGAUCUGUGAUGAGUUCUAACUGAUGAACCACGCUUUUACCAGGAAACAGAGGCUUCCCUAACAACACCUCCGCAAAGAUGCAGCCAAUGCUCCAAAUGUCAAUCGCUGGAGUAUACUGCACAAAAAAAUACAAACCGCAACUCAGUCUCUUGAGCAUCUACAAACUGCAACUCAGUUAUAUCUCUAGCCAUACACAACCACACAAGUACCUUGGAACAGAAUGAGCCACAGAGCUCAGGUGCCCUGUACCAUCUCGUCGCAACAUAAUCCUGAAACAAGAAAGACAGAAGCAAAUUCAAACACAUUGGAGAGAUUACCAAAACUGAGUAGGUAAUCAAGAGAAAGGUGGAGACAAACCGUCCAAAAGACUGUGGUAGGCGUAUCAUUGAAGGACACUCUCGCUAGUCCAAAGUCACAAACUUUCAACUUGCAGUUCGCAUUAGCCAGAAUGUUCUUCGGUUUAAGAUCACGAUGGUAAACAUUAGCCGUAUGCAUAUACUUCAAGGCACGAAGCAUCUGAUAAAGAAAAAACUGAUGGUGCUCCUUCGUCAAGUCAUCAUUAGCUUUGAUGACUUGGUGCAGAUCCGACUCCAUGAGCUCAAACACGACGUAAAUGUCUUUGAACUCUCUUUUAGAAGGCGGAAGCAUGAUGCUCUUGAUCUCGACUAUGUCAGGAUGCCUCAGGAGGCGGAGAAGCUUGACCUCGCGGAGGAUACGGAGAGCGUCGGAGAUGUGUUCGAAGACGUCGUUGAUCUUCUUGAUGGCGACUUUCUCUCCCGUGUGCGUGUCGAUGGCUGCGCACACGACUCCGUAGCUUCCUUUCCCGAUGACUUCGAGGAUCUGGUAACGGUUUGCGUCGCCGUACUCUGUGAAAAAGUCUAUCUCUUUCAUGCUCUGUUUUGCAUCACCAAAAGCAAAGAAACAGAGCAAAACUAGUUAAAAGUCUAUCAGAUUCACAACGAAAGAAACAUACUUGAAGAGACAGAGAGUAACCUUCUUCGCCUGAACUUGCUGCAUCCUCUUCAAAAAGAUAAUAAAGGUCGAGUCUUUACGGAUGAUUCGACGAAACAGAGGAGGCGAGAAGAAUGAUAAAAAAAACAGAGUGAUUUUUCUCAGCAACCAAUAAGUAGAAAGGUGAGAAAGUUAGACCAAACUAAACCGAACCAAACCAAACCGGGGAAGGAUACCGUUCGCUCAACAACCCUAUCGUCUUCCUCAGAUUCAAAAUCCAAAACUCAGCAACCUUUAAACCCUUAACCAGAAAAAAAGAAACCCUUUUUUAAUAUGAAUGAUCUCAGAGGAGAUCUCAAUAAACAAAUUACAGUGACCAAUGAAAAAAAAUGGCGAUUCUUGGAAUCACAAAAAAAAAACCCAGAAACCAAAACCCGAUGAAUGCACUUCACAGAGAAAAAAGGCUUCUUCUUCGGAGAGAUGAGAAGAUCUAUAGAUCCAGAGAUGAGAGGAGAUCUGUAGAUCACUCACAAAUGUUUGUUUGUUUGUUUGGUUAUAUAAAUCUAAUUUUAGCAAUUUUCGUGGUACUUAUUUGCGUACGAGGGGACAGGUCACGAGGCGAUGGCAUUCUCGUAGUUCUUUACAAACUCUGAGGAUUGUUUUGUUACCGUUAGGUACACUGUCGGUGUUCUUUUUUGAGAUAGACCCGUUGUGAGGCAACCUACCGUUGGGCGACCCUUUUUACUAUUUAAAUUCUAACCAUCCAACUAUUCAUAAAUCGAAUUUUAGCCACUAUUUUUAUCAUAUGGUUCAAUUACCCCCUAAAUUGGUCAUUUUUCUUGGUAAUAUUAUAAUUUUGGCAAAAAUUGGUGGGCAGUCAAGUUGGUGACUUGAUCACUGUCAUUGAUGUUUCAGUCAAUAAAUAUGAUUAAAGCUUUAAUAAAGAGAAAAAGAUCAAAAUAACACUAAAUCAAGUUUUUGUUCCCAAACUAGCAUUCAAAGCCAAAAGUCACAAAAAUAGCACUUAAGAGGUGGGGUUUAGGGUUUAGAAUUUAGGGUUUAGGGUUUAGAGUUUAGGUUUUAGGGUUUAAAGUUGAAAAGUGAGGUUUUGGAGAUAAGAUUUCAAAUUUUGAAAAAUAAAAAAAUUUAAAUUUUUCAAAAGAUAUAAUGCUAUUUUGGUCAUUUUAGUUUUUGAGUGCUAUUUUUGUGAUAUAAACUUAGAAAUGUGCUAUUUUGGAGAUUUGCCCUUUAAUAAAUCCCACAAGUUUAUAAAUAGAGCCGUAUAACUUACCUAACUAUCGUUAAAGUUUAUACACAUGGCCGCAAUUGAAAUAGCAAUUACUAUUACUUUAGUUUCUUAAUAAUAAAUUAAUAAUUUUACUACUAUCGUGAUUACGAUUAUAACUUAUAAGUAAUGAGAAGACUCAAGUGUCAAACAACUAUAGGAUGAUUUCCGCAAGCGACCUUGCUGUUGAUGCCGCUACAACGUUAAGAUCACCAAAUAAGAUUGCAUGUCUCAAACCUUUUGAAAAAAAAGACUGCAUGUCGCUCAUUGGUUUCUCUGACUCAGUCUCAAGAAAAAUGAUUAUAUAAAACAUUAUGAUACUCGUGGAAAAUAAAUGUCAAUUAUACAAGUUAACGUUCGUUCCUAACUUUCUUUUUGAGUAAUUCAUUUAUUUUACAACUUGAGUUAUCUGUUUAUAUAUAUAUAGUUGUACACAAAAUAAUAUAGUUUUGAGGUAUUUAAACAUAUGGGUGAGUUGCAAAGUCGGUCCAUUAACUAAAGCAUGAAAAAGACAUACAAUAUCACGGAUCUAAAAGAAUCUCAAAUCUUAAGCCACAUAAAUAGUAUCAUUUAAUAUAUCAAUGUAGGGCAAGGUGUCAAGUGACAAUAUUUAAACAUUUCAACUAAAGUUAAUCUUUCAUUUUCCAUCACACUUUCAUCGUUGUGGUGACCUUUUCUUUAAUAAUAAAAAUACAUACCAAGUCAAUAAGCUAUUUAAUAAUUACAUUGUGAUGGUAUUGGAAACGUGUAAAGUCGGUAUCUCUAUAUCACAGCACAAACUGAUAAGGCCUCCGUAACCAAAAAUUGUUCCAUACAUUUGAUAAUUGCUUAAAAUAACAUGUUACAAGUUCAUAUAAUAUAUCAAACUUGCAGAAAAUUUUGAGAUUUCAGGCUUAGCUUUCAGCAUGACAUAGAAGUCAAUCCAAACUUUUAGGCGACCUGACACAUUUUUAAUAUUCUUGAGGUUCUUUUUAGUACGGAUUUUAAAUACUAGAUCGUGUUGUUUGACAUAUUCAUUUUUUGGUAUGAAUUGACAUAUUUAUUUUUCAGGUAAACCGCAGGAAAUAUACUUUCAGUUUUUUUGCUACUCCUUUGACUGGAAAACGUUAAUCGAGUAGUUUUUUGUUUACUUGUUUUCAUCCAGAUGUGCGUUUUAAAACUAUCAAAACAGUACAAAGGAUAAAGUUUACCAAAUGAUAAACAUAACUCUUGUUUUAUGAAAAACAUACUCGUUUUAUCUUUAUUCAAAUGUGGUAUUGCAAGACUCAGAAAUAUCUCAGACAUGCAGAUUUUUUUUUCUUGUUUUGUUUGGUAGCCUCUAAAAGAAUCAACGAACGUUACGAACCUAAUUCAUAGUUCAAUCAGUGUUCAAUAUUAAAAACAAAUCCUUAUCAAUAUUAUUAUGCUAACAAGUUUUUGUCCCCUGUUACAUCAAGUAAAAGAAAAUAUCUAAUAACGUAUAACACCAAAACAUCCUUUUCAAUCUUCUACACCAGAAAUAUACAGAGGACCUUUUACCAAAAAAAUAAUAAUACAUAGGACCAUAAGUUAAUAUAUUCAUUUUUGCUGAGAUUCAGUCUGAUACAUAUAUAUUAUUAUACCCAACAAUAAUGCAAUUACAUAAGUUAAAAAAAAACAAUAAUGCAAAUACAUAAAGUUGAUAAAAGAAGACAAUAGAGGAUGCUGCAUCAUGUCAAUAAAAUCAAAAUAUAAUGCAUACCUAGUGGUCCUGUGAAAGUGGCAGUAGAAGUUGCAUGUGGUUUAGGGCACAUCAACAAUUGUGUAUGUCGUGUACUUGUCCAAAAGGCAUAUUCUUUUAUUUUGAAACAGAGCAUCCACAUUCCACAGAGAGAUUUAAUAUCAAAGUUCCACUGAGAAUAGAGACAAAUAUGAUUAAAUAUCUGCCGUAACCCACAAGGAAACUCAGAGGUUGAAAGGAUAUAAUAGUCAGAGACGCAUUCUCGACUAAAAACCAUGGGUUAGAACAUAACUUGACUAAUCUUAUUUCUCUUACAUAUAAUAAGCUCAUAUGAAAACAUGACACAUGUGUCAUGGAAUGGAACUAUAUCUUGUGCAUUAUAAGAUGAGCACCAAACUGUGGGUGAAGGGUGAACACCGUGUAAGGAGCAUGGACAUAGGAAGGAGAAAGAUCAAAGGAGAAUCUCUGUAUAAUCAAUGCCAUUGCCAUCUUUGCCUCCAACAUGGCAAAAUUUUGACCUAUGCAUAUCCUUGGCCCCCAAGAAAAUGGAAUGAAGGAGACUUGGCUCUUUGUUGCCUUUGAGAUGCCAUCUUUGAAUCUCUCGGGUUUGAACUCCGCUGCAUCGUUACCCCAUUGCUGGAUGUCGCGUUGGACUAGCAUAAUAGGUAGAGUGAUGUUGACGCCACCAGGUAGCGUCACGCCGCCUAGCUUCAUCUCUUUGUGAAUGGCUCGAGUCAUAUUGAUUACUGGAGGAUAUAGCCUAAGGACCUCUUGUAAUAUCAUCGUCAUCUGUUGGAAACAUUCAGCAAAAAUCAUCAUAACACAACCAGAGUACUGAAGUCACUUCAAGUUUGUUUUUUAAUUUUAUUUUACUUACAACUUUGAGCUGGUUCAAGCCUUCUGCAUUGGGUUCUGUAUCACCAAAAACUUGCUUGACUUCUUCUCUAGCACGAGCCUGCCAGUCUUGGUGUUGGCUUAGAAGAAUCAUUGUCCAAACUAGAAGUACUGAAGUUGUCUCUUGUCCAGCAAAGUAGAACAACUUGCACUCCUCUAUCACAUCUUCAAUGCUCAUUCCGUUUCCUUUACCUUGUCCUAAAUUCGAUUCAAGAAGUGUACCUAGCAAAUCUUGGCUUGGUGCUUCCCCAGCUUCUAUGGCCCUUAGCCUUUUGUUAACGAUCCCUCUCAGUAUAGCUUGGCUUUCUCUAGCUGCUGCUUUCAUCCUUCUAUUACCCUUCGUUGGGAGAUAACUACGUAGAGAUAUCAGCUGGUUCCAAUAAUACUUACAUUACAUAACGACGAAUGAGGGGAACAAUCAUCACCUGACACCAACAAACGGCUAAUUCUAAGACAUGCCAUACCCAACCGUGCCUACGCUUCGGUGUGCUGCUACUGCAACCGCGGCGGCUCCAGCAGGACCGUACUGGGAUUGUGCCUGCAACAGCUUAGCAUCAAUACCCACCUUGUGCUGUGAUUGGACGACAUAAGGGUUUGGGUUCAGCUCAGCUGGCUUUGCGGAGUUGCAUUGUGUUGGGACAAACUGCGGUUUUGGCUGAGAAGCAGGUUCUGUACCACCACCACCACGCUUCUCUUGGUUCAUGGUGUUAGGAUGGAAGAAACCGUUAGGAGAUGCGGUCUGUGGAGGGGGUACUGUACUUCUGUAGUAAGAUGUCCUUGCAUCAUGUGACGACUCUUUGAGGUUCCUGUUGUUCGCAUAAGUUACAGAUGAUGAUUCCACAGCACGGCCUGGUCUAGCUGAUGGUACUCUUGGAGGAGGUCGUAAAGGUUUAGUUGGAUUAGCUGAAGUUGAUGGAACCACUCCAUUUCUUGAAGGCUCGAAAGAAACACGUCGAGUGUCUGGUGCAUUCAAGCCAGGUUGAGCAUUGGAGCUUACUACACUGGAGUGGACUGUAGACCUACAAAGAUGAACAUGAAGAGAUUAAUCACAAGUGCCAUACUGAAUCAAUCUGCACAGAAGAGAAAACAAUACCGAGGAAGUGAAGUAUGCUUUCUCUCUGGAGGUAUGACUGGCCCACUUUUGCCGCUAUUCUCUUCUAGGUACGCAAACUGUUUCCUCAGAUGACCAAUGGCACUGCAACAUCAAAAUCAAUCUAUCAGCAAAAAUGAAAAAUGAGAAAAAAUGGUUUUGAAAGAUGCAAGUAAGAACCUAGGAUAUAAGAAACUAGAGCCUUCAGAUCCGUUCAUAUAAUCCUUGAGCAGCUGAGGAUGGUAUUCUAGUAUCUCCCUGUAUAUCAGCUCUCUAAUGUCAUCCUUUGUUAACCUUCUUCGUUCAAACUCAAAUUCCAUCUUCGAGAUUUGCUGACAAGAAGGUUCCCUUUCAAUCUUAGCAAGACCCUUAAAGUAAGGAUCAGCCAGGGCCUGUCAAAUAACAUCACAAUGUUAAGGAGCUGAGAUAUAAACAAGAGCCUAUCCUUGAUAUGAACAAGAAGAGAAAGGAAGGAAGCAAGACACCUCUGUAGCAGUUGGCCUAUCCUUUGGAUCAAAAGCCAACAGUCUCUGCAAAAGGCGCAAUGCUGAAGGAUCUGCGUUAGGAAACUUUUGCGUAAAGGGGACUGGACUCUUCUUCCUCAUUUCCCCCAGGUAUUUUCUAGCUUUUUCAUUUCGAACCUGCGUUACAGAUAAUAUAUCAUUAGUUUAUGCAAAAAUGAACAUACUCCAGCAAACAAAAAUAGAAACUUGGUAAUGAGGAAAACAUACUCCAGCGAUGGUCUCUGAUUUUGGUGUGCCAAGAAGAUCUGUGAUGAGUUCUAACUGAUGAACCACGCUUUUACCAGGAAACAGAGGCUUCCCUAACAACACCUCCGCAAAGAUGCAGCCAAUGCUCCAAAUGUCAAUCGCUGGAGUAUACUGCACAAAAAAAUACAAACCGCAACUCAGUCUCUUGAGCAUCUACAAACUGCAACUCAGUUAUAUCUCUAGCCAUACACAACCACACAAGUACCUUGGAACAGAAUGAGCCACAGAGCUCAGGUGCCCUGUACCAUCUCGUCGCAACAUAAUCCUGAAACAAGAAAGACAGAAGCAAAUUCAAACACAUUGGAGAGAUUACCAAAACUGAGUAGGUAAUCAAGAGAAAGGUGGAGACAAACCGUCCAAAAGACUGUGGUAGGCGUAUCAUUGAAGGACACUCUCGCUAGUCCAAAGUCACAAACUUUCAACUUGCAGUUCGCAUUAGCCAGAAUGUUCUUCGGUUUAAGAUCACGAUGGUAAACAUUAGCCGUAUGCAUAUACUUCAAGGCACGAAGCAUCUGAUAAAGAAAAAACUGAUGGUGCUCCUUCGUCAAGUCAUCAUUAGCUUUGAUGACUUGGUGCAGAUCCGACUCCAUGAGCUCAAACACGACGUAAAUGUCUUUGAACUCUCUUUUAGAAGGCGGAAGCAUGAUGCUCUUGAUCUCGACUAUGUCAGGAUGCCUCAGGAGGCGGAGAAGCUUGACCUCGCGGAGGAUACGGAGAGCGUCGGAGAUGUGUUCGAAGACGUCGUUGAUCUUCUUGAUGGCGACUUUCUCUCCCGUGUGCGUGUCGAUGGCUGCGCACACGACUCCGUAGCUUCCUUUCCCGAUGACUUCGAGGAUCUGGUAACGGUUUGCGUCGCCGUACUCUGUGAAAAAGUCUAUCUCUUUCAUGCUCUGUUUUGCAUCACCAAAAGCAAAGAAACAGAGCAAAACUAGUUAAAAGUCUAUCAGAUUCACAACGAAAGAAACAUACUUGAAGAGACAGAGAGUAACCUUCUUCGCCUGAACUUGCUGCAUCCUCUUCAAAAAGAUAAUAAAGGUCGAGUCUUUACGGAUGAUUCGACGAAACAGAGGAGGCGAGAAGAAUGAUAAAAAAAACAGAGUGAUUUUUCUCAGCAACCAAUAAGUAGAAAGGUGAGAAAGUUAGACCAAACUAAACCGAACCAAACCAAACCGGGGAAGGAUACCGUUCGCUCAACAACCCUAUCGUCUUCCUCAGAUUCAAAAUCCAAAACUCAGCAACCUUUAAACCCUUAACCAGAAAAAAAGAAACCCUUUUUUAAUAUGAAUGAUCUCAGAGGAGAUCUCAAUAAACAAAUUACAGUGACCAAUGAAAAAAAAUGGCGAUUCUUGGAAUCACAAAAAAAAAACCCAGAAACCAAAACCCGAUGAAUGCACUUCACAGAGAAAAAAGGCUUCUUCUUCGGAGAGAUGAGAAGAUCUAUAGAUCCAGAGAUGAGAGGAGAUCUGUAGAUCACUCACAAAUGUUUGUUUGUUUGUUUGGUUAUAUAAAUCUAAUUUUAGCAAUUUUCGUGGUACUUAUUUGCGUACGAGGGGACAGGUCACGAGGCGAUGGCAUUCUCGUAGUUCUUUACAAACUCUGAGGAUUGUUUUGUUACCGUUAGGUACACUGUCGGUGUUCUUUUUUGAGAUAGACCCGUUGUGAGGCAACCUACCGUUGGGCGACCCUUUUUACUAUUUAAAUUCUAACCAUCCAACUAUUCAUAAAUCGAAUUUUAGCCACUAUUUUUAUCAUAUGGUUCAAUUACCCCCUAAAUUGGUCAUUUUUCUUGGUAAUAUUAUAAUUUUGGCAAAAAUUGGUGGGCAGUCAAGUUGGUGACUUGAUCACUGUCAUUGAUGUUUCAGUCAAUAAAUAUGAUUAAAGCUUUAAUAAAGAGAAAAAGAUCAAAAUAACACUAAAUCAAGUUUUUGUUCCCAAACUAGCAUUCAAAGCCAAAAGUCACAAAAAUAGCACUUAAGAGGUGGGGUUUAGGGUUUAGAAUUUAGGGUUUAGGGUUUAGAGUUUAGGUUUUAGGGUUUAAAGUUGAAAAGUGAGGUUUUGGAGAUAAGAUUUCAAAUUUUGAAAAAUAAAAAAAUUUAAAUUUUUCAAAAGAUAUAAUGCUAUUUUGGUCAUUUUAGUUUUUGAGUGCUAUUUUUGUGAUAUAAACUUAGAAAUGUGCUAUUUUGGAGAUUUGCCCUUUAAUAAAUCCCACAAGUUUAUAAAUAGAGCCGUAUAACUUACCUAACUAUCGUUAAAGUUUAUACACAUGGCCGCAAUUGAAAUAGCAAUUACUAUUACUUUAGUUUCUUAAUAAUAAAUUAAUAAUUUUACUACUAUCGUGAUUACGAUUAUAACUUAUAAGUAAUGAGAAGACUCAAGUGUCAAACAACUAUAGGAUGAUUUCCGCAAGCGACCUUGCUGUUGAUGCCGCUACAACGUUAAGAUCACCAAAUAAGAUUGCAUGUCUCAAACCUUUUGAAAAAAAAGACUGCAUGUCGCUCAUUGGUUUCUCUGACUCAGUCUCAAGAAAAAUGAUUAUAUAAAACAUUAUGAUACUCGUGGAAAAUAAAUGUCAAUUAUACAAGUUAACGUUCGUUCCUAACUUUCUUUUUGAGUAAUUCAUUUAUUUUACAACUUGAGUUAUCUGUUUAUAUAUAUAUAGUUGUACACAAAAUAAUAUAGUUUUGAGGUAUUUAAACAUAUGGGUGAGUUGCAAAGUCGGUCCAUUAACUAAAGCAUGAAAAAGACAUACAAUAUCACGGAUCUAAAAGAAUCUCAAAUCUUAAGCCACAUAAAUAGUAUCAUUUAAUAUAUCAAUGUAGGGCAAGGUGUCAAGUGACAAUAUUUAAACAUUUCAACUAAAGUUAAUCUUUCAUUUUCCAUCACACUUUCAUCGUUGUGGUGACCUUUUCUUUAAUAAUAAAAAUACAUACCAAGUCAAUAAGCUAUUUAAUAAUUACAUUGUGAUGGUAUUGGAAACGUGUAAAGUCGGUAUCUCUAUAUCACAGCACAAACUGAUAAGGCCUCCGUAACCAAAAAUUGUUCCAUACAUUUGAUAAUUGCUUAAAAUAACAUGUUACAAGUUCAUAUAAUAUAUCAAACUUGCAGAAAAUUUUGAGAUUUCAGGCUUAGCUUUCAGCAUGACAUAGAAGUCAAUCCAAACUUUUAGGCGACCUGACACAUUUUUAAUAUUCUUGAGGUUCUUUUUAGUACGGAUUUUAAAUACUAGAUCGUGUUGUUUGACAUAUUCAUUUUUUGGUAUGAAUUGACAUAUUUAUUUUUCAGGUAAACCGCAGGAAAUAUACUUUCAGUUUUUUUGCUACUCCUUUGACUGGAAAACGUUAAUCGAGUAGUUUUUUGUUUACUUGUUUUCAUCCAGAUGUGCGUUUUAAAACUAUCAAAACAGUACAAAGGAUAAAGUUUACCAAAUGAUAAACAUAACUCUUGUUUUAUGAAAAACAUACUCGUUUUAUCUUUAUUCAAAUGUGGUAUUGCAAGACUCAGAAAUAUCUCAGACAUGCAGAUUUUUUUUUCUUGUUUUGUUUGGUAGCCUCUAAAAGAAUCAACGAACGUUACGAACCUAAUUCAUAGUUCAAUCAGUGUUCAAUAUUAAAAACAAAUCCUUAUCAAUAUUAUUAUGCUAACAAGUUUUUGUCCCCUGUUACAUCAAGUAAAAGAAAAUAUCUAAUAACGUAUAACACCAAAACAUCCUUUUCAAUCUUCUACACCAGAAAUAUACAGAGGACCUUUUACCAAAAAAAUAAUAAUACAUAGGACCAUAAGUUAAUAUAUUCAUUUUUGCUGAGAUUCAGUCUGAUACAUAUAUAUUAUUAUACCCAACAAUAAUGCAAUUACAUAAGUUAAAAAAAAACAAUAAUGCAAAUACAUAAAGUUGAUAAAAGAAGACAAUAGAGGAUGCUGCAUCAUGUCAAUAAAAUCAAAAUAUAAUGCAUACCUAGUGGUCCUGUGAAAGUGGCAGUAGAAGUUGCAUGUGGUUUAGGGCACAUCAACAAUUGUGUAUGUCGUGUACUUGUCCAAAAGGCAUAUUCUUUUAUUUUGAAACAGAGCAUCCACAUUCCACAGAGAGAUUUAAUAUCAAAGUUCCACUGAGAAUAGAGACAAAUAUGAUUAAAUAUCUGCCGUAACCCACAAGGAAACUCAGAGGUUGAAAGGAUAUAAUAGUCAGAGACGCAUUCUCGACUAAAAACCAUGGGUUAGAACAUAACUUGACUAAUCUUAUUUCUCUUACAUAUAAUAAGCUCAUAUGAAAACAUGACACAUGUGUCAUGGAAUGGAACUAUAUCUUGUGCAUUAUAAGAUGAGCACCAAACUGUGGGUGAAGGGUGAACACCGUGUAAGGAGCAUGGACAUAGGAAGGAGAAAGAUCAAAGGAGAAUCUCUGUAUAAUCAAUGCCAUUGCCAUCUUUGCCUCCAACAUGGCAAAAUUUUGACCUAUGCAUAUCCUUGGCCCCCAAGAAAAUGGAAUGAAGGAGACUUGGCUCUUUGUUGCCUUUGAGAUGCCAUCUUUGAAUCUCUCGGGUUUGAACUCCGCUGCAUCGUUACCCCAUUGCUGGAUGUCGCGUUGGACUAGCAUAAUAGGUAGAGUGAUGUUGACGCCACCAGGUAGCGUCACGCCGCCUAGCUUCAUCUCUUUGUGAAUGGCUCGAGUCAUAUUGAUUACUGGAGGAUAUAGCCUAAGGACCUCUUGUAAUAUCAUCGUCAUCUGUUGGAAACAUUCAGCAAAAAUCAUCAUAACACAACCAGAGUACUGAAGUCACUUCAAGUUUGUUUUUUAAUUUUAUUUUACUUACAACUUUGAGCUGGUUCAAGCCUUCUGCAUUGGGUUCUGUAUCACCAAAAACUUGCUUGACUUCUUCUCUAGCACGAGCCUGCCAGUCUUGGUGUUGGCUUAGAAGAAUCAUUGUCCAAACUAGAAGUACUGAAGUUGUCUCUUGUCCAGCAAAGUAGAACAACUUGCACUCCUCUAUCACAUCUUCAAUGCUCAUUCCGUUUCCUUUACCUUGUCCUAAAUUCGAUUCAAGAAGUGUACCUAGCAGAUCUUGGCUUGGUGCUUCCCCAGCUUCUAUGGCCCUUAGCCUUUUGUUAACGAUCCCUCUCAGUAUAGCUUGGCUUUCUCUAGCUGCUGCUUUCAUCCUUCUAUUACCCUUCGUUGGGAGAUAACUACGUAGAGAUAUCAGACAACAUGGUUAGUCAAGCUAUAAGCUAUAAGAUCGAGAACGAAGAUGGAUAAAGUUAGCGAAAUCAAUCUAUUCUACGGAUGAGUUAGUUAGUAUUGUGUACUUUUUCAGUUUCAAAUUCUUGUUAAAAAUGUAUUUGUUGUAAGUUAUAUUUUAAUGUAAUGUGUUAUACCGUAUUUGAUUUUAAUGAAAUCCUAAUAGUUUGCCAGAAAAAUAAAGCAUGGUCUAGAGGCCUAGUCUUACUAUAACCUGAUUAGUAGAGGUUCUCAAUACCUAUAUCCAGGGAUGAAAGCUUUACGAAAAGCUUGUAUAAUGAGCUCAGAUAGUUCUGUUUGGAGCUCAAAUAUCCUCUGUCCUUCUUUAUAGCUGCUGCCAAAAGCAGUACGAGAGAUCACAUCUGCAGUCAUGCUCAUAAGCCAAGGCCAAACAUCCACCUCACAGGAUGACCCUUUGUCCAAGACUAUAUUGUCCCAUUUGCCAACUACCUCGCUACAGCUUUGGUGGAACGCAGGUACCAUAUUCUAUACACAGAAACACAAGGCACAAACUGGAUCAGAUCCAAAGCAACCAACAUACAUACAUAUAUCAUACCUAAACAAGGCCGAAUCUGAGAUUAGAAGUCAUAAAUAUUUUUAGUUCAAUCUUAAUAAUUUUUUUUUUAUAAUUUGAAGAUCAUGUAACCUAUGUAUAAAUAACUCUUUAGCCGAAUGUUUCAUUAGAGUGUGUCUAGAACCAGCUAUGUACAUAAAGUACGCUAAUGUGAUUAGGGACUAUAGAAAAAUGAAAGCAAUACCUUGAUUUUCUCAAGGUGGAAAGCAGGGUUGAUGAUUCUUCGGUGUUUAGCCCAUUUAUCACCGUCAUAACUAAAGAGUCCACUGGCUACAGGUCUGCUCAAGGCGAAUGUAUUUGGCUUCUGGAAAUCAUAAAUCUUGUUCAACACUUCCUUGAUUUGCUCGGGGCUCGUAAUGGUGAUGGUUGGUAUAGGUCCACGCCAUGUAAAAAAAGUCCUUCCUGUUCCAACCACAUACAGAUACAAAAAUUAAAACCUUUUGUUCUUUAAUAUGUUCCUAAAAGAUAGGAAUCAAGAAACCUACCGUAAGUCUUGAGCAUGUGAGAGGGGAAGGGCAAGACAAGUGGGACGAUAUCAUCAGUUAGUUUGAUGGGUUUGGACCUUGCCUCCGUCGUCAUGCUAUAUUCCCUUUUCACAUCUCCAACAAGUAACGUGUAAGGAGUUCCGACAAGACCUUGUCUUCUCAGGUAACUCUCAAGCAUCUUUGGUUUAAACCAAACCCAAUUUAGAGUUCUCCAUAUCCACCACAAUACAGCAGCUAUAGCUACUGAAACUGUUACUGACGCAGCUGAUGCUUCCAUUUUCGUUCUUAGAGAAGAGAGAGGGAGAUAGAUAAUCUGAUGGCAUUCUCGGGAUCUAUAUAUAUGCAUGAAUGUGGUGAUGACCUCACCACUGAUGUCAUAUAUUUUUUAUGUUUUGCACGAGAAGCAAAUUUGGAUUUGUGUGAAUAUUAGCUAUAACUUGCGUAAGGGGGAAAAGGCAUGACCGUCAACCUUUUGACAUUUCUUUGUCACUACAUCUCUUUAAAAAAAGAUUAGUCAAACAUUAGCAACGGUUGGUUUUAACUUUUCAACUAUAUAAAAAUAUGUUAUUAUCUAUCUUUGUGAAUACGUAAUUUUUUGACUACUGUUUACAUCUGCAUUCGAUCAGAAAAUUUGGAUUUGUGUGAAUAUUGGCUAUAAAAUUGCGUAAGGGGUAAGAGGCAUGACCGUCAACCUUUUGACAUUUCUUUGUCACUACAUCUCUUUAAGAAAAACAUUAGUCAAACAUUCAUGGUUGGUUUUAACUUUUUUAACUUAAAAAAAAUAUGUUAUUGUCUUUGUGAAUAUGUAAUUUUCUUGGUCUUUUUUUUUUCGUUUUAAAUAUGUUUGUGAUUUUAUUCAAAAUUGUGUUGCCACAUGUGGUAAUUCCUAUCAUACAAUAAAAACUCUAUAAACUAAUACUCGAUAUAUUAAUAAACACGCUAAACUAAUAAUUUCUUUGGUUCCGAGUUAAGCCAGUUAAAAAUAUAAUAUAAAUUGAUGAAAUGAUAUGAUAAUAUUUUUUUAGAAAAUCUUAUGUGAAUAUAUAAUCUUAUUAAAAUCUUAUAUAUAUAUAUAUAUUAAUUUAUAGAGUUUUUACUGUAUAUGCACAAGGUCAAGAGUUUGAGUUUUCGAUUUCAGUUAUGAUGAUUUAAAAUUUUGUUCAGAGUGAUAUAAGCUUUUGAUAAGUUAUAGACAGUUUUUCUGCUUUGUCUGUUUCCAAAUAGAACGUUGUUGGUUAAUGAACCUACAAUGGUAUCGCAAAACUGAAAAACAAAAAUGACUGACACAAGAACUCUAGGCCUGAAUUAAGGACACCUAACCUGUUUUUUGGUGAAUCAACAUCUGAUGCAGCUCUUCCUCCAAGGUAAGAGCCUUCUAUUUGUUUCUGUUAUUCUCCCAGUGACAUUUUUUACUACUAGCCUCAUGUUCUCAGUUCAGGUAUACAUCAUAGAGUAAAAUUCUCUGUUACUUUCUUUUCAUAUAGUGCAACUCAAAGCCAUGGGUUAAGUCUUAUCUAAGGCUAUGAUGCAGUUAUAUUACUGCAAGUUGGUUACUUGAAAGCUGAAACAAUGCUUCAAACUGCCGAUGAACAAGUCAUGACCUUAAAGAAACAUAGUACGUUUCUGGCUCUGUUAGCAGCAAAAAAAAAAUCAAUAUGCAGAGUCAGUUAGUAGAAACAAUCAUCUCUUACGCUUGAUUCGUGCUCAGGUCUGUAAGCUUGCUUCGUUUACUGAAUUUUAUUUUUUCUCAGGAUCCUUCUAAGCAUGUUUUUUAUCUUGCGACAGAUAAACUCAAAUUUGGAACAAUGAACAUGUUGUUCCUCCUUAACCCACCUGGAAAGGCAACCAUACAUGUGGAAAACGUGAAUUCUUUAAUGCAACAUAUGAGACUCAAUUCAACUUUGGCAAUGAGAUCAGUGCUGGUUAGUGGUUCCUCUACAAGUAAGAUGCUCAAAUAAUAGUUUUUUACUUACACUUUCAUCAUAGACGCCUACUCAAACAUGACACAUUAUUCACCACAGGUUGUGUUACACAGAUGGUCAUUGCUCCUCAAGUUCUUUGAUGUAUGGAGGUGUUCAGAAAAUAUAAACAGUAACGGUGCCAGAGCUUGAUUCGUCACCACAGGUCAAUACCGUACUAGCUUCUUAUUUUUAAGCAGGACCCAAGUGUGGAGGACCCGUUGCGAUCUCCCACAAUGUCUCCCGCAUCUCCGCUCUCCUAACAGUGCUGUCAGAGCCUAAUCUUUUCAGUUGCAGCUGUCCAAAUUCAAAUUCUCUUCCAACCAUCAGACAUUCACUAUCUCCGCUCUUCGAUCGCAACUGAUAUAGACACAGUAGUAGCUAUCUAACAUUGGGAUAGACGUAAGUCCAUCGUUAUCAGAACGUGUUCUCAUCUAUAAUCAUCUGACAUAUUAAAUGGUGCGUUGAUAGGGAGGCAAUCACAACCCUGCCGAUGAUACACCAGGAGCUACAUGUGUUUUCUGGAAGAGUUCUGAGGGAAUGAAGCUCACUGGUAGCUACUGGCCUUGCUCAUGAAACAAAUCAGCUCGCAAGUCAAAAUGACUUGAACUUCUCAAGUUUCAGAUAUUACGACCCUAUUUACCAGCAAUUCUUGAUAUCACCUACUAUGUUUUCAAAUUAUGCGCACAAUAAAUUCGUACUUUGCACUUAUCCAAAACUUUUUGAUUUGCUUAUUUGCUACUUUUGGUCAACUUAUUAACAGAAAACAACAAUGUCCUACAAACUUAAUGAAAGGAUGAUGUUUUCUCCAUCCAAGUCACCGUAUGGUCCGAGAAGAGACGAAAAAAACACAGUAGUAGCUAUCUAAAAUCCAACCACAAAUUUACAUUGGAAGUCCAUGCAAAUGUACGCACUCAUCUUAUAUACAUGAUAGGUUUGUUCUUUACAUAUUUCCAUCCUAACCAACUCCACAAUGUUACUAACAGAGAGUUUAAAUUCUAACAUUUCCUAUAGAUAAAAGCAAAAGACUUUUAGGCAAGUGCAUGCUAUUCAGAGAAAAACAUAUUUUACUUCCCUCUAAGGCAUUUUUUGAGAAUUCACUGAAUGAACAAUAAUUUCCAUUGUUUAAUUAUUCGUAAAAAUAUAAAUCAACAAUAACAUUUUUUAGCAGCGGCAGUGAAUUAUCUCUAACAUUACAAUUCUAGAAAAAAAACAAUUAGGAAUCUACGAAGCCAAAAUAUGAAAAGAUAUCAUAGUAAAACAUAACUCAUAAUGUGAAAGUGAACUUACCAUUAAUCAUAAAAUAAACAAAAAUGCAAAUAUAUCUGAAUUAAGCAACACAAAAUAAUAAAAUGGGAAAUAACAUGUCACUAUACUAAACAUAAAUAGAUAGGUCUAAAGUUCACAAAGUCACGUGUACUCCCCAAACCUUCCGUUUCACACUUGGCUCAUGUUUUCAUAUUUGAAACUAUAUUUUCAAUUGUCUGGGUACGUACUAAUUUGACAUCCAGUCAAUGAAUUCGUGAAACGGCACAUUGCCUUACUCCUAACAUUGUUGAAGCCAUAACACUAAAUCUAAAUUAAAUUGAUUUUGUAAAUCCAGCAUCAUAACGCCUCAAGUCGUCAUUCAGUUUAUGUUACUGAUAUUCUCCUUUACGUUCCACAAACCAAUAUUUCUACUAUGAGAAAAAAGAAACAAACAAACUGAUUAUAAUAAUAACUAAAAUAAACUAAACAUAAAUUACUUUUAAUUUAACAUUUCAAUGGAUAAAUGCCAAAUGUAGUAAACGAUUGUGAUUUGUUUGUAUUAGCAACCUGAACACAUCACUAUGGGAAUGAAAUAAUUAAAAAGAAAUCGUGAAACAUAUGUUUAACAAAAAAUAUUACAAAUCACACCAAUAUAAAUAUAAAUUUCAACCAUUAUAUUUUACAAAACCAAACAUGGAAUAACAUAAUAAAACAUACAAACCCGGCGCUAUGCGCCGUGAUACCACUAGUUGAUUUAAAAGCAUGGUUUUAUAAUAUUAGGAUCUGCAGUAAUUUUAUUUCUCUUAUAUAUGACUCAUUUGCAAACAUCACACAUGCAUGGGUUAUGGAACUAUAGCUUGUGCAGGGUAAGAUGAGCACCAAACUGUGGGUGAAUAGUCAUGACUGUGUAAGGAGCAUGCACAUAGGAAGGAGAUAACUCAAAGGAGAAUCUCUGUAGAAUCAAGGCCAUUGCCAUUUUAGCCUCCAACAAGGCAAAGCUCUGACCAAUGCAGAUCCUUGGUCCCCAAGAAAAGGGAAAGUAGGAGACUUGGUUCUUAGUCGCCUUUGAGAGACCGUCUUUAAACCUCUCUGGCUUGAACUCCCCUGCAUCUUGGCCCCAUAGCUCGGUAUCGCGCUGGACUAGCAGAAUAGGUAGACUGAUCUGUACGCCGCCCGGUAAUGUCAGAUCACCUACCUUCAUCUCUUUGUGAACGGCUCGUAUCAGCUGAGCUACUGGAGGAUACAGCCUAAGAACCUCAUACAAUAUCAUGGAUGUUAACAAUGGGUUUUUACCCAUAGGGUACCCUAAACCCGGUUGGAAUUUAAAAACCAAAACCCGUAUAUUCAGUUUUCAAAAUUCGCGGGUUUAUUUUGGGCGGGUCUUGAUUUAUAAAUUACCCGUUCGGGUUUUACCCUAUCGAAGUGCGAGCUGCACAGACGCGUCAGAUGUCUAGUUAUGGAUGGAGACCUUCCUACCGUUAGAUUGAGCUUAUCUUUUGAUACAAAAUAUAGCUUUGAGUUAGCUUUCCAAUUCCACCGGGUUGAGGUCAAUCAGCAUUCUGUAGAAGAAGUUAUGCCUGUUUUACUGCAGAGUGGUCAGUCUGCCUCACGAGAGGAAGCUGUCGAAGAAAUGAAGGACUGUCGAUCGAUAUUGUAGCAUUGGUGUCGGUCGACAGUGAUCCCAUAAAAUAGGACAAGCCUGUUUCGUGACCAAUUUAGGCCCAUAAGUCACCACAUAUUACCAAUAUACUCCUGGACGACCUGAAACCCUAUUUUACUGUUUUCUAAGCCAUUGUUGAUGGCUAUGCUUCAUACUAUUCUAGAGAGAGAGCUGAGGAUUGGAGAGAGAGAGAUCUGUACACCUUGAGAGAGGGAAGAUCUUGAACUCCCUUUGUUUCUUUACUCUAUCAUGUUUUUAUUAUUUUAUUUAAGUAUUAUUCAGACUAUGUUUUUCAUGAAUAUGUCUGAGUAGUCCUUGCUGUUAGGUUUAUGUUUCUCAAUAGGUUGAUAAAUGUAUUACUGACACAAACAAUUGUUAGGGUGUUUAGAAAUAUAGUUCAUUCAUCUAGUUGUGCUUAAAGCUAAGCUUAAGAUUUAUCACCUUUAAACUUAGAACUUAGGAUUAAUUGGGAUCAAGUCAUUGCUUGACCCAAUACCUGAAAAUAACUAGUAUGAUCUAACUGACUAGGUACAGACGAGAGUUGAUCUAGUGAGUUUGAGAAUAUAAAUCAUACCUGUCCGUAAAGCUUUCUGGAAGAAGUAUCGAUCAACGCAGCGAUAGCCCUGUCGAUCGAUAUUUUGAAAGGUGUAUCGAUCGAUAUUCAUAAAGAAUUAUCGAUCGACACUUUCUCGUGAUUAACAUACGAGAGUUAAGAUCCGAGAUCCAGAUUAGAUAAUCAAAGAGAUUACAUCUUUGUUUAAAUUCAAGAACAAUUAAUAUCAAUAAACCCCUAAAAACGCAGUGAUAGCCCUGUCGAUCGAUAUUUUGAAAGGUGUAUCGAUCGAUAUUCAUAAAGAAUUAUCGAUCGACACUUUCUCGUGAUUAACAUACGAGAGUUAAGAUCCGAGAUCCAGAUUAGAUCUGGAAGAAGAUGCUUUCCUAGUCAAAAGCUCCAUGUCCAUAGACAACUGGUACUAUUGUCGACACUGGUGUCGACCAACAACAACAACUGAGCAUCGACCGACAUAAUCAGCCGAUCAUUGAUCGACACCAUUUUUGGGAUCGGACAAAACUGUUCGAAUUCAGAGCCACUCAGAUUUCGCCGCUCGACACCCGCAUCCUCCCACCCUAGCUCGAGUUAAAAGGGACAACAUCGAUCGACAACAAUACAAUGGAAUCGAUCGACAGCAACAUAGGAACACCGAUCGACAACAGCAUAAGAGCAGCGAUCGACAACCGCCAAUGCCAUACCAAGUACGUUUACCAGAUCUUGAUGCACACCGCUUGAAGGAAACUCAAAAUCCAUCUCAGACCUCAGUUUGCUUGAAAACAACAGAGAAGAUAAGUCAGCAAUCUGCAGAAGCACCAGAGCAAGAGCAAUCAACCCUAGCUGAAACCUCUUUCGUUGAGAGUGUCUAUCGACGGUAUAUACCAGGUGUCGAUCGACACCAAAUUGACGGACACGAACCUGCCAUGGAAUGGCAGGCAACAGAAGAAAUAAUUCCAACUGAGAAGAGAGUGAAAUCUAGGAAACCAUAUAUUCCCAAACACCUAACUUGAUGGAUUUCACAAGAGGGUGAAGAGGGUUUCUAAGGAUAUGUGUUUCGAGGAUGCAUAUCAUAAGUAUAGACUUGGUAAUUUCUUCAGAAAGAGUAGAGAAACUGAUAAGGAUAUUGAGCUCCUAUCCAACAAGGCCAGCCGUAAACCCAAGAGGAUACUGAAGAAGGAACAAGAUCCUGGAAAGUUCCUGAUUCCAUGCUCUAUACAUAGCCACCAUUUACCAAACGCCCUAUGUGAUACUGGAUCUGCAGUCAGCAUCAUGGCCAUAGACACUGCGGAGCUAUUAGGACUGAAGAUGGAACCUUCUAAAGAUAGUUUCACUUUCGUGGAUAGCUCCCGAGUAAACUCAGCUGGCAUGAUCAAGAAUGUUAAGGUGGAGAUAGGGGAAUGCAUUAUUCCUGUGGACUUUCAUGCUAUGGAUAUCAAAUCAGGAAGACAUCUCCACUUCUUUUUGGAAGAGCCUUCAUGGCUACAGUAGGGGCAGUCUGUGAUCUUAAGAGAAAUAAGAUGUGUCUGACUAAUGUUGAUGAAACUGUCUUCUAUGAUCCCAUGGAAAAGAAGAAAAGUGAGGAGCUUAUUUCAUGCAUAGGGUGUUUGAAGAUCCGGGACCUACAACUGAUUCAAAUCGCGAGCCUGCAAUACCAGAAUCAGCGUCAGUCGACAUUAGAACUUCAGCAUCGGUCGACUUCCAAUCCUCAGCAUCGAUCGACAAUAAGCCUUCAGAAUCUGACGACUCUCAGUCUUCAGAAUCGAUCGACACAAAGCCUUCAGCAUCGGUCGAUGCCCUCCGAGUUUCUGAACAGCCCGAGACUGAAAAGUCGAAGUUCGGAGGAAGGAACAAGAAUAGAAAGAAGAAAAAGAAAAGGAAUGCAGAUGCAGAUUCCCUAUCAGUAGUUCCUUUGCAACGUCAAUAGGGUAGUCUUGAGUAUAGAGUGCGUUGCAGAGGAGGUUCUGAACCUUUUACCAAGGUUAGAGUGCUAUGUGAUCCAGAGCUGAGAGAGAAAGGAGAAGUUUCUACAAUAGCUUUUCUUAACUGCAUCAACAAAAUGAGGAAGAGAGACACUGAGACUUGUUUUAGAGCACGUACACAUCCUCAUCCGGACUAAAUCACAUCUCCAAAGUCAAGCUAAGUGACUAUAACAAAGCGCUGAGUGGGAGGCAACCUACUAUUAGGUAAUUUCUUUCAAUUUAGUUUAGAUUGUUACUGAUUAAAGUUUUCAUUCAUUGCAUGUCAAAAAAAAAAUCCGAGGAAGACGAGUUUGCACGAGGAUAGACGAUGGCUGCGCAGCAUCGAUCGACAGAGUAUCACUAGCAUCGAUCGAUCGCCACUUAACUGUAUCGAUCAACAGAGCUUCAAGAGAAUUGAUCGCCACUUAACUGUGUUGGUCGACACUCACAUCAAAGUCAGAUAUACUGUUUUCCUUGUUAAAUAUCGUCCUUAUGUUUUAUUUCCCCACUGAUCUUAGACUGUAUAACACUGGAGAUAGUGUUGUUUAAGUCUGGGGGAGGUUCUACUAAUAUUGUGUUUAGUUAGUUAUUUAGAAUAUUAAAAACAAAAAAAAAAUCCGAGUAGACGAUUGCCUAGCAUAUCGACCGAUGAAAGCAUGUCGAUAUCGCUCGACAGUACGUUACUGCAGCGACCGAUGGUAACUCCUUUCCAUCGAUCGACACUUAAACCGGUCAGGUAUAUCGUUCUAACUUGUUAAAUUGAGUACUUAUGAUUUAUUUUUCACCAUAACUCCGACUAGAUAUACACUGGGGACAGUGUAAUUUAAGUCUGGGGGGAGGUUUACUGAUAUUAGUGUGUUCAUGAGUCUUAUCAAAAUGUUUUCAAAAGAGUUUUAUUGAGUCAAGAAGGGGAUAAUGAACUUAUUAGAUUUUUGCUUGUUAUCUAACCACUCUUUAGCACCAUUCUAGACUUACUGAUUGCAGAUAGUACUAAAGAUACUAAAGUGGAUCAACCUGUCACUUGUCCACACUUGCUGAGAUUGUUUGAAGGAACCAAAGCUGACCUCCAACACUAAACCUGACAUAACUGCUUGUCUUGGGGCUUGGUAUACAUGAGAUCAGAUUCUUCAAACAAGUCUGGAAGGUAAAGCGUUGUGUAGAUUUAUCAUCUUUUCUCUCUCUAUUUCGACCUUUUAUUUAUAGGUAGAUAUAUUUAUAUAUAAUAGGUGUUAGUUAUGUGGAAUCUGAACAGGACUUGGUGGCUACAACCAUUAAGGCUUGCUUCAUAAGGAUUCCAACAAAAAGAAUUCGAACGGGACUUGGUGGCGGCAAUCAUCAAGAUUCGAUUCACAUGAAUUCUUAGAUAUAGGUCAAAAAGAAGUGAACAGGACUUGGUGGCAACCACCAUUAAGGCUUGAUUCAUGGAAGCCUGUCCAAUCUUGGUCAAUGAUCCUGCAAUGAAAGCAGACUUUGACUAAAGAGAGAAAUUAGAAGAAACAAAAGAUAUGAACUAACUUUUACCUGCAGAUCCAGAUACUUGUUUGAAAAUCCUUGCAUCCUGUGAUCGAUACUCCCAAGGUAAAGCUUGCACUUUUAUUUAUGCUAAGAAAUGAGGUUGGUAGAGGGGAAUGUCAGACAUGAUAUGUUAAGUUGUUGGCAAUGUGAAUUUGGUUGCUAAGCUAGGAUAUUGUAUAAUGUGCUUUUGUGAUUAGGACCUCUUAGAUGUGGAUUGCAAUAUUGUAGAGGUGAUGAUUCUAAGUUUUAAAUCAUAUGAGUUCCUGCUGUUUUCAAACCUCUUUCAGAGAGACUGCCCGUCUGUUUUGCUUGAAGACAAGCAAAAAGGUAAGUCUGAGGGAGUUGAUAUACCAUGGAUUUUACCCACUUUCAGCCAUGGUAUAUAAGUGUUUUAAUAUAUAUUUACUACUAUAUAGAGUCUAUUUAGAGUAUUUACAGGUUCAGGUACGUUCUGGAGAAAUAUGGUGAUUUUGGAGCCUUUUGAGGUGCAGAACUGCGCAGACGCAUCAGAUGUUUAGCUAUGGAUGUAGACCUUCCCACCGUUAUAUCGAGUACAAUAUUUCGACACAAGAUAGAGAUUUGAGUUAGCUUUCCAACGCCACCGGUUUGAGGUCAAUCAACAUCAUGUAGCAGAAGUUAUGUCUGUUUUACUGAAGAGUGGUCAGUCUGCCUCGCGAGAGAAAACUGUCGAGGAGAUGAAAGAACGUCGAUCGAUAAGACAUCCUUGGUGUCGAUCGACGGUGAUUACAGAAUGCGGGCCAAGUAUAUUUCAAGACCGACUUAAGCCCAGAAAAACCAAAAAUUACCAGAAUACCCUUGGACGACCUAAAACCAUAUUUAUGUAUUUUCUAAGCCAUUGCUGACGGCUAAACUUUCUUUACGCUAUUUAUUCUAUUCAUUGUUCUUAGUUAGGAGAGAAGGGAGAAACUCCUUCAGAGUCCUCCUGGAACUCCUUCGGUUUUUAUAUAUAUUGCAGUUUCAUCUAUGAUUUUUUGUGACAACUAUCAUGUUUGAAUAGAUUCACCUUGCUAGAUUUAGGGUUCAGAUAGUCAUGAGGGAUUAUCCCAAAAAAAUAGAUCUGCUAAGUUGUUAAAAUAUCAAUCAACUUUACUGUUCUUUAAUGUUUGUGUUCUAAAGUAGCUAACUAGGACCUUGUCCAUAGAUAAUUGGACGCAAGAGAAGCAUGGUCCUUUGUCUGAUUUAGUUUACAUUGUGCUAGGAUUGCUAUAAACAAGUGACAACUGAUUUAGUUUAACCUAGUGAACAAGUCAAAAUCGCGCGGUAAAGCUUGCUAGAAGGAACGUCGAUCAACAACUCAGUAGUUGCAUCGAUCGACUGACUGAAAGGUGUAUCGAUCGACAAUCCAUAAUUGGUAUCGAUCGACACUUUCUCAAGACCAACAAGCGACAGCUGAGGUCUUAGAUCUAGAAAAUAGAUAAUCUAAACAAAUAGAAGUUGAUAGAUUAUUACUUAGUUUGAGUUUCAGAAUAUCGUACCUUAGCAUCUAUACCAUUAUAAUUCUGAUUGCCUGAAUAGAAGCUCUAAGUUUAACGAACUAUCCUUCCAUCAAACAACUCAUCAAUUUACUGAACAACUACCUUGUUCACUAUGUUUUGGUAUUUACUGCUUUAUAAUCUAUUAGCCUACCUUAAUCAAUAACUAUUUAGAUCUAGUGUGUGUCCUAGCUCCUUGUGAAUUUGAUCCCUAAGUGCUACAACUCGGCCUCUUAUUUGAAAGAGUACAAAUCACUCCUUAGGGUAAUUUGAGUGAUAUCACAGGUGGAUCGAACCUGAAAUGUGUUGACAUCCCAAGUCUUUUAAUAUUUUCCAUUCAAACGAAAGACAAACUAAAUAAAUUAGGCCCAGGUUUAGUGUCCCAUGUACACCAAACAAGUUUCCUUGCUGUGAAAAAUACCAACACCACAUUUUAAUUUCUUGAUUAAUUUUUGUUGGUCGGCAAAAAAACAUUUAUUAUACCAAUAGUUUACAAAACUACAAAAAGAAAUUUUUGGGGGAUUUUAAUUUUUUUUAUUUACCCGGACAUAACCAACAAUGUUGGAAUAGGCUUAAUUAAGAGUUCCUAUCUGAAUCGUAAGUAUUAUAAAUAAAACUUCAAACGAUUGUAACCAGAAAACAAGAAAGAGACUACUAUACCUUUGACCUCGCUUACAACUAUUGGAGGAUUUGAAAUGAGAUGAGGCUACGAAAGUGACUUUGUUUCAUAUUGUUUUCUUAAGUUAGACCAUAUGGGCCGUUGAAUGGUGUACCGUCACUCAGUUCUUUUCCCCCGCUGAUCAAGUGACAAUUUAGUUGAUAUCACUAUACCAAAAAGCAGCAAGUAACGGACAAAGUUGAAUUGCUUAUUGGACUUAUCGCAAGUGCGGUUAGAGAUUACCUUCUAUUUUUAAUUGAUUUAAACUUACUAGUGUUUUUCGCGCUUCAUAUACAUGCCUAGAGUGAUAUGGGUUUUAGCGAUUUCACACAAUAAGAUAACAUUUUUUAGUUUUAGUUGAGAAUAUGUGUGAAAUCCAUUUAGUAUUCUGGGAAGCGUAUUAUUGGAUGAAGAUGAAUGUAUAGAGGUUGGAAAAAUGUAAGUGGUUGAAGAAGAAAGUAUUAUUGGAUGAAGAUGAAUCUAUAGAUGUUGGAAAAAUGUAAGUGGUUGAAGAAGAAAGUACCAUGCACACCUACCACUACACUCCAAUUUAGUGGGAAAUUUAAAGAACAACCCGGAAACCACAAGUAUGCAUUCAUGACUCAACUUUAAGCUCAUGGUGUUANNNNNNNNNNNNNNNNNNNNNNNNNNNNNNNNNNNNNNNNNNNNNNNNNNNNNNNNNNNNNNNNNNNNNNNNNNNNNNNNNNNNNNNNNNNNNNNNNNNNAUGUGGUUUUGAAAGCUUUUUUUUGUUUCACAAUUUAAUUUGUUUUCAAAGUCCAAUAAAAAAAAGUAAAGUGAUAAAACAAUAUUUAAACAAAAAAAUUAAAAGAAAUUUUAGAAAUAUUUAUUUGACUGGUCACUUUUUCUGUUUGAUUAAAUGCUAAAUACAAAUAUAUUUUAAUCCAUGUGCUUUCAAUCAAAACUAAUUAUAAUUUGAAACAGAUGAAGUAUACUAGUUUGGUUAGAAUUAUUGUUUUCAUUUCAUAAGAAAAAAGAUUUUAUUUUUUUGUAUAAAGUUUUUUUUUUGGACAAUAUAUGUUAGCAUUAUGUUAGCAUGCAUUUCUUAUUUUUAAAGUUAAUCAAUUAAAAAAACACCAAAGGUUUUACAACAUAUGUUAGCACUAGCAUUCAUUUCUUAUUCUUUUUAAAAGUAAGGUGCUCUUGUUGGAUAUAGUAGAACAUACAACGAGCAAAUGUUAGUAUUUGUUAUUUUAUAAUUUCUUGUCCAGGGGAAUGUCGAAUGUAAACCACACAAAAAGUUCCAAAACUCAAUCCACAAGAAAAAAAUGAUUGGUCAGGAGUUAUCCUAGAUAAAUCAAGUGGAAUAUUUCGAGAGCUCGAGCUCAAUCGAGAAGACAUUUAAUUAAGCGUCUCCCUUGGACGUCGUUUUCGCAUUUUGCAAUAUUAUUUCGGAAUAUUCAUGAAACUGGAAUAUCCAAAGAAAAAAAUUACACCUGACAUAGUAAAUUUUAUUUUAAAUGAUUGAAACCAGACUUAUACAGUUUAUAAUCUCAUAAACGCACAUAAUUCUGUAGCUAGUUUUGAUCCUUUUGGAUUUGAAACCCUUAGCCUAUUCACUCUUUGACUACAUCCUAUUUCCAAUACGGAAAUUUUAAUUUUAAAGAAUAAUAAUCGAUGAAGUCUUACUAGUCAAAUAUCAAUUUAAUUAAAUUCUUUUUUAUUUAAAAAUUUAUUUUAUAGAAAUUUGGAUAGAUUAUACGCAUGCUUAACGUGUUCAUGUCAUUUUGUAAUUUGUAACAAAUAUGAAAUACGUAACUUUCUUGGUAGAAAAAGUAGACACAGCCAAAUGUGGACCUCAUAUAUAUAGUCGGUCGUACGCAUUCAAUCUUUUGCUCUUUGCUCUAUAAAGAAAGUUAUCUUCUAUUACAAAUCACCUUCAUUAGUCUCUAUAUUAGUUCUCUCUUCUUUGCAAAACUUCUGCCUCCAUAAGAACAGAACAGAGCAAAGAAGAAAAGCUGAAGCUUUGUUAUUUUGAAGUAAAUCAAAUAGACUCUCUUUCUUCUUUUGUAUGAGACAGAGAAGCUUCUUAUGGAGUUCUUUACUGCAGAUGGUUCUUUCUCCAUGUGGAAAGAUGUUGCUGGAAUCGCAGGUAAAAACUUUAAUCUGCUUUUGAUUCUGUUCACUGUGGUUUUUCUUUGGUACGUUUUGAUUCCUUUUUAGUUUAAUGGAUAUACAUAUAUUGCAUCUGGCUUUAUUGCCAUGAGUAUCACCAAAUCAAGAGAUAUGUCUGGCCAUUUCUGGUCUGCUCUUUUCUUCUUUGGCACUAAAAACAAGAACUCUAGCUUGAUGUUUACUAGUGUUGCAUUGUUUGUUCUGUUUCAGGUAACAUAUUUGCAUUUGGGCUAUUUGUUUCACCGAUGUGAGUUCUUCUUCUUCUUCAUCAUCAUUUACUAAUUUUAUUAAAUUUGGACUUGUCCUUGGAUUCCAACUUAGACCAGUUGGCGAGAAAUUGAAUGGCUCUAGUUUCUUAUAUAUUAGUGUUGGUUCCUUCAAAUUUUCAAUGUGAGAUUUAAACAUGCCCUCUCAAGAUGUGAUGACUAUUAUCAGUCCAUCUCGAACCGGAUCCCUUAGGACCGAUAAUAAACUUUUUUUUGGACUACCCUAUCUGAAUCAACAAAUGAAACUCUGAUAUUAUAUUAAAUUUGAAAUUAUCAUAGGCUUCCAACUUAAAUCCAAUUGGCGAUAAGUAGAUUAGUCUUACCUAUUUAUAUAUUAAUGUUGGAUCUCAACAAAUCUUGUACUCCUUGCUUGUAAUAAACAUAGUUUUCUUCUUUAUCUAUACACUUCACUGGUUUCUUUCUCAUUUAUAUGUGGGUGUGUGUCUGUUUUUUAUCUCCAGGCCAACAUUUAGGAGAAUCAUGAGGAACAAAUCUACCGAGCAAUUCUCUGGUUUACCAUAUAUUUACGCUCUCUUAAACUGCUUGAUCUGCCUUUGGUAUGGCUCACCUUACGUAUCCCAAAGAAACUUCAUGCUUGUGACUGUUAAUGGCGUUGGAGCCACUUUCCAGCUUUGUUACAUUAUCCUCUUCAUCUUGCAUACAGACAAGAAAACCAAGGUUUCUUGAUUGAUUCUUUCACAUGAAAAAAAUGUUUAAAAAUGUUGGUUAUAUCUCUAAUCAAGAUCUUGAAUCAUGGCAGAUGAGGAUGCUUGUUUUGCUUCUUGUGGUGUUUGCUGUGGUUGCGUUGGUUGUAGCUGGAAGUUUGCAGAUACCUGAGAAGGUCACACGAUGGUACCUUGUCGGGUUCUUGAGCUGCGGUUCUCUUGUCUCGAUGGUUGCUUCGCCCUUGUUUGUUAUUGUAAGUUUCAAAGAAACCCAAGCAAAUAGUUUCAUGUGUUCAGCGUUGUUGAUUGCUUAAGUUGUCUUGUGUUUUUCAGAACUUAGUGAUUCAGACAAAGAGUGUUGAGUUCAUGCCGUUUUAUCUCUCUCUAUCGACUUUCUUGAUGAGCGCUUCCUUCUUCAUGUUCGGACUAUUCAACAGUGACGCCUUUGUUUAUGUAAGUUUUACUCUUCAGUGAGUGUGAUUGUAGUUUGUGUUAUUUCUCUUAAAAGUAUUAACAAACCUUUUUUUGAAAACUCAGACACCAAAUGGAAUAGGAACGGUUCUUGGUAUUGUGCAGCUAUCUUUGUAUUGCUACUACCACAGAAACUCUAUAGAGGAGGAAGCAAAAGAGCCCUUGAUUGUUUCUUAUGUGUGAGUUUCAGCAAAGAAGCUAGUUUUGAUGGCUCAAUUGCUUAAGAUUAUGUGAGACCACAUGAAAGAUUCACUGAUGUGGGUUUUGUUUGUGUGUGUGAUGGAGAUCUCUGGUAGGUUGAUUUUUAAGAACAUUUGUUCAUAUAUUGUUUGUUCUAAAAGAUUAUUCUAUUUGUUUGUCAAUAAGAUUUUUUUCUUUGUUAUAGAACAUUUGCAUCAAAUUGUAGCAAUUGGUUCAUAAGAUAUUGCUUUUUUUUUUUCUUUUUCCAUUUGGCGUAUCUAAACAAAUAAACACACAAGAAAGGAAGAAGAUUUGUCUCUAUCACAUAAGACAUUGGUUUACAUAAACAUGUUUUGUUUCUGUGUUACCCUUCAUGGCGGUUUUAAAACUUGUUACACAUGAAAAACUUCGAUAAAACAACUAUCAAAGCAAAUCUCUCAAAGUUGUUCUUACCAGAGGAGUCUGUUUAACCUGCAAAACAGUAACAAGAACAAUUGUAUCAAUCUCUAACCAAAAACAAUUUUGUUUUUGUCUAAUGUAGAAUAAGUGUAAACAAACACUCACUUCUUCUUGAGAUGGAGAAUGCUGAAUCGGAUCGCCACGUUCAUCAUACAAUAUUAAACCACUAAACCGUGGAAGUUCACAUUUCUCACCCAUCAGAAUCGGUCGCUGCCAAACCUGAUCAACCGCAUUAAGACUCCUUUCUUUAACCGCAAGCAAUGUCCUCUGCGGCGGCGGUCGUGUUUCCAUCUCCAUCCACUUAGCUGCAGAGCUCCAACAAAACGAGCCCAUCAACCUUCUCUUCACUUUGCUCCACUUACAGUUCCUCUUUUGAUCCAUUGUUCUUGACUCAACAAACGCCCACUCCGCGUCUGCUACUUGCUUUCCUCGAGAAUUGCGGUUGAGAAACGCUGCGGCUAUGCAGAGGAGCGUUACUGCAGCCGCUGUUCCGACCAAGAUCACUACCGCGUCUUUCGUUGUUAGCUUCAGUUUAUCCUCCAACUUCCACAAGGCUUCCAUUAUUUCUUUGGGGGUCUAUUAGAGCUAUUGGAGAGUAAAGGGUGAGGAACGUAUAUAGGUAAAAAUGGUGAGCUUCAUGUGAAUUCCACCGAUAUAUUUAAUGUUCAUUACUAUGAUAUUUAAUAUUUAUACCCUAUAUAGUUUUCUUUUCCCCUCAAUUCAAUAUCUAAUCUCACCUUUGGCUUUCAUGGUUCAUUAUGGAAGUUGGAAACUGUAGCCGUUGUAGCCUUUUCGCAAUUAGAAAUUAAUCGUUUUUUUUUUGAAAAAGGGCUAAUUAGAAAUUAAUCGUUAAUGGAAAACAAUAUAAAUUCUUAUUAACACUUAUUUUUGUUGAUGCUUCAACACCAAAGUUAUACUCAUAUCUUUUCAUUUAAAAAUAAAUAAAUAACUAUUUUCUGAGUAUUGAAUUAAUUACAUAAUCUAAGUGAACUCAGAAUAUAUAUUGUAAAUACAGAAAUACUCGACAUUUAAAUGGUAUAAAAUUUAUAAUUUGGUAAAAUGCCCAUUUAAAUAAUUGAAAUUGUAAAUUAUUUUUAUAAUAACAUUUAAUCCAUGCACAAUACAUAGCACAUUUAGUAUGAAAUAUUAACUUUGUUGGUACUUAAAAUGGUUUGUUAAUAACCAUAGUGGUUUCCAUUGGAUAAAAGUUGUCCUAUUGGUCAAGGCUAUGGUUCUUUAACUCCUACGUAGAACAACCGGGCUUGCCUGUCACUGGUGAGUAGAUAUCCAAGGGAUUAGCUUCCACCCCGACGAAAAAAAAACAUGAGAAAAAAAAGGUUUGUUAAUUUGUUUUGCUUUUGGUAUAGCUUAUGUAAUAUGCUAUUAUAUAACUAUAUAUCUCAGUAGCUUGUAGGGACACAAAAGUUUUUAUGACAUCACGAGCCGCGCAAGGUUUGUUUGUUCAUGUUCUUGUUCGAUAUGUAAUCUCACCUUUGACUUUCAUGAUUCAUCAUGGAGCAAACUGAAUGACAAUUAUCUUCACAUAUCUCAUGUUCUUGUAGUUCUAGGUGCACAUACCCUAUAGAUGAUGACAAUGCUGGUUCAGGCACAUAGAUGCAGGCGUUGAAGGCUAUUAUCCUCCUCCUUAUGGACCACCAGCUGCCUGGACUGGUGGCUAUGAUCUGCAGCAGCAGCAACAUCCACCACAAGGACAUGAAUGAAAAUGUCAACAACUCAUGAAACUUAAAGCAAAGCAAGUCAUCCUUUUGUAGCAUUGCUCUGGCUUUUGGUUUGCAUACAAUUUUGAACAACCCACACUAAUAAAACUGUUGUUCAUCUAAGAAGGCCAUUAAUAUCAGAGAUGGGCCGAAUCUAGGCCCACUAAAUAUGGCGGGUAAAAAUUAUAAAUUUUAAUUUCUGUUGAUGAGACUUUCAAAAACGUGGCUGGUGUUCUUUCCCAUUCACCGUUUCACCAAACGCCGUUUCCGAUAAUCCCUUUUCUCCGUUUGAUCUGAACGUUGAGUAUAAAAGCCUGAAGUCGAAAAGGAUCGAGCUUUAAUGGUUGAAACCAGUCUAGAAGUAGAAGAAGAUGAUGAUGGUGAUAAAGAGAAUAUUGAUCCUUUAGAUGAAGAAAAAGAUGGGAUUAUGUGUGAUGUAUGUCAAAGCACAGACGGUGAUCCAUCGAACCCAAUCGUGUUCUGCGACGGUUGCGACUUAAUGGUCCAUGCUUCUUGCUAUGGCAACCCUUUGGUUAAGGCUAUACCAGAAGGUGACUGGUUUUGCGGACAGUGUAUUGCGUCAAGGUCGUUGAAGAAGAGAGAGAAGAUGUUCUCUUGCUGCUUGUGUACAACCAAAGGUGGGGAGAUGAAACCGACAAAGGAUGGUCGAUGGGCUCACAUCACAUGCUCGUUGUUUGUGCCGGAAGUAUACUUUGAGGAUCCUGAAGGAAGGGAAGGGGUUUGUUGCAGCGAGAUACAGAGUAAGAGAUGGGAAGAUGUGUGUUAUUUGUGCGAGAUUAGAGGUGGGUGUGUUAUAGAGUGUUCUGAGAUGAAGUGUGAGUUGGGGUUCCACGUUACUUGCGGGUUGAAGGAAGAUCUUUGUGUUGAGUACCGUGAAGGGAAGAAGAGUGGUGGUAUUGUUGUUGGUUUCUGUGAUGAGCAUACUAAACUGUGGGAGAGGGUAAUAUUUGCAUCAUCAUAUACUUAUCUAUUUAGUUGUGUAAAAAAUGUGUAGGGAUUAGUUUUGAUGAUAAGUUUUUGUUUGUCAGCAACAGGAAAGUGGGACGUACAAGAUUGUUGCCAGAAAUUAAGAUAACGAGUUGCAGAAAGCUGGAAGGCCAGAAGCACUCUUUUACUUGCAACUCCAAGAAGUUUCAUGCUCGGCAAGUUUUAUGCUAUGUUCGAAUUGUUAUUAACUUGCAUAAGGCUAAAGCUUGAUCAAUCUAAUUCCUUUCUCAUUGUAUCCUUUUCUGGUUUAUGUCAUGAUGAUCAUUGACUAUACUUUCUUUUGGAAGAUAGAUCAGGAUGUCGAUCAUCUUCUGCUCUUUACUCUGUGAUCGUAAAUCAAAUAAGAAACACUUUCUUGAAAUGCAUCCUUAUGAUUAAACCGUAGAAAAUAUAAUAAUCAAAGUACACUCAAGAGAUUAAUACCAUUUGACUAAAAUAAUUCAAUUGUUAAGGUAUAUUUAUCCAUCAGUAUAUCAGUAAUAAUUUGGUAAGCCUUUUCACUCGGAUGAUAAGGGUCAAAGAACACAUGAGAGUCCCAAACAUGUAAAAGGAGUAAGUUUGUUGCACAAAACAACCAACUCAAUUCUUCAUGUACCACAGGUCCACAACAAUUGCAAAACCAUGUAUAAUAUAUUAUUAGUAUAUAGUGUGAAAGGUUUUUAGCUGUACAAAGCUAGUCACUUGGUCAAUAAGUGUUUAGUGAGAAUUUUUUUGAUGCUAGUAGCUAUCAAAAACAGAUGAUUAUCAACUGCCAAGACACUGACGGAUGUUCAGAUAGAUCAGGAUAUUAAUUGGUUAUGUUCUGCUCUUCAAACUCAGACUUAACAAGUUCAGUCAUUUUACUGUCUCAAUCAUGUUUGAAGCAUUGCAUUAGAUUCAAAGAGGCAUGUUUUUUUUCUUGAGAGCAUGUUAACCGAAAUAUAAUGCUGAUAACCUAACCGGAAUCUCAUACCAAUAAUCUGAUUUAACAAAAGGCAUUGGUGCCGCCGCCUCGAAACAAACAGAGAUCGAGAAUUUCUCCGACCAUCAGAACUGCAACAACGACACAAGUCAGAGUGUCUUAAGUACUCAAAGUUCAGUUCCAUUAAAAUUAAUUAACAAAAACCCUAGAACUUCAACGGUUUCAGAAACGUGUAGUGACUCUUUUUCUCGCAGAUUUGCAUCCAAAACGCCAGUUCUGAUUCAGAACGUGAAGCAAUCGAAACCCAGCAGAACCGAUGAAGACUGAAUCGAUCUAGAAAAAAAGAAAAAAAAAAAUUUGGACCAUUUCUCGAUUUGUGCGUGUCAUCCUUGCGCAGGGGCCAUGCUAAUCUUCUCUGUAUCGUUCCAAUUUUAUCGGAUGUCCCCGAAGGGACAAUCAUCUUGGUCACUCUAUCGCUAUAUAAACACAGCUUCUUCUCUUCACUUAACCGAUGUGGGACUGUUUUAAGUUCCUCGCUCGUUGGCAGCUUUAAUGGGCCUAUUCUUUGUUUUAAGCCCAUUAACGUUAUCAACCAUAUAAAAAGCAACUAAAAAGAAAGCUUAAUUUCAAAAUCGUGGAGCCAAAGAACAUGACCGUCGUCUUCCUUCGAAUCCAGAUUCAAAAAAUUUCCAUCGGAACUCUGAGGUUACUCCCACGAAACCUCUCCACUAUAAAGCCUUCUCCUUUAUCAUCUCUCUACUCCACACUCUCUUCCCGAAUCGAAGAACACCCGAAGAGAUACGAGCACCACAAUGUCGCUACCUGCAUCGCCGCAUUGCAACGCUGCGCGCACCGCAACGACGCCGUUUCCGGCGGAGAGCUUCACGGCUUCAUGGUCCGGAAAGGGCUUCUCGAAGACUCCCCUCGCGCCGUCACCAGCCUCGUCAACAUGUACGCCAAGUGUGGUCUCAUGCGGCGAGCGAUCACCGUCUCCGGUGGAUCCGAGCGAGACGUGUUUGCUUAUAACGCGAUUAUCUCUGGGUUUGUUGUGAAUGGGUUUCCUUUUGAUGCUGUUGAGAUGUAUAAAGAGAUGAGAGCUAAUGGAAUUUUACCCGAUAAGUAUACGUUUCCUAGUUUGCUUAAAGGAAGCGAUGCCAUGGAGGUUUCUGAUGUUAGGAAGGUUCAUGGAUUAGCGUUUAAACUUGGGUUUGAUUCGGAUUGUUAUGUAGGGAGUGCGUUGGUGAGUUCUUAUUUAAAGUUUAGGUUAGUGGAGGAUGCGCAGAAGGUGUUCGACGAAUUGCCUGAGAGAGAUGAUAGUGUGCUUUGGAACGCUUUGGUUAUUGGGUAUUCUCAGAUAUUUAAGUUUGAGGAUGCUUUGAGAGUCUUUAGUCAAAUGCGUGAAGAAGGUGUUGCCUUGAGUAGGCAUACAGUCACCGGCGUCUUGUCAGCGUUCACGGUGUUAGCGGAUGUUGAUAACGGUAGAUCGAUCCACGGCCUCGCGGUGAAAACGGGGUUUGAUUCUGGUGUUGUUGUGUCGAAUGCUUUGAUUGAUAUGUAUGGAAAGAGUAGGUGGCUAGAGGAAGCGGUUAAGAUCUUUGAAGCGAUGGAUAAGGAGAGAGAUAUCUUUACGUGGAACUCUGUUUUAUGUGUUCAUGACUACUGUGGUGAUCAUGACGGAGCUUUAGCUAUGUUCAACAGGAUGCUUUGUUCCGGAAUCCGACCUGAUCUCGUUACGUUGACGACAGUUCUCCCCACUUGCGGUCGUUUAGCUGCGUUGAACCAGGGAAGAGAGAUUCAUGGAUACAUGAUCGUCAACGGACUCUUAAACCGAAACUCCAAUGAUGAGUUCAUCAACAACUCCUUGAUGGACAUGUACGCGAAAUGCGGGGACUUGAGAGAUGCGCAGACGGUUUUCGACUCGAUGAGGAGUAAAGACUCAGCUUCUUGGAACAUUAUGAUUAACGGUUACGGUGUCCAGAGCUGCGGCGAGCUAGCUUUGGAUAUGUUCUCGCGUAUGUGCGAAGCAGGUGUCAGACCUGAUGAGAUCACAUUCGUUGGGCUGCUACAAGCAUGUAACCACUCAGGCUUUGUUAGCGACGGGAAAAGGUUCCUGGCGCAGAUGGAGACGGUAUACAACGUUAUCCCAACGAGUGAUCACUACACUUGUGUGAUAGACAUGCUUGGCCGUGCGGGGAAGCUACAAGAAGCAUAUAAGUUAGCAGUAACAAUGCCUGUGGGGGAUAAUCCUGUAGUCUGGAGGUCAAUAUUAGCAUCUUGUCGUCUCCACGGGAACAACAUAGGCCUGGGGGAAUUGGCUGUAAAGCGGUUAUAUGAGCUAGAGCCAGAGCAUAGCGGCGCUUAUAUAUUAAUGUCUAAUAUGUAUAUGGAAACCGGUGGAUACGAGCGAGUUUUGGCCCUUAGAGACGCAAUGAAAAAACAGAAUAUGAAGAAGACAGCAGCUAGUAGCUGGAUUGAGGUCAAGCAUGAGAUUCACACGUUCUUUAACAGCGAUAAGACUCACCCGGAAUAUGAAUCUAUCGAGGCUUGUUUAAGCCCGUUGACUUCUCAUAUAUUAGGUGGUCAUUAGUGUACGCUGCUCGACGAUUAUGCCAAAUUUUGGUUAGUCAUAAUAUCCUUCUUUUCGAGAUUUUCAUAACCUUGAAAGAGUAUUAUAGUUUACUAAUAAUGUUGUGUGACAGACGAUCGUUUCCGGAUUAGAAUAUCUACGAACCAACAACAAUUGUUUGGCCAUUGUUCUGUAUUAUUAUAGCCCAGAGUGAUGGGACCAAUCUUGAAAACUGAAAUCACCUCGAUCCAGGAUUAGCAGAGCUGUUUCCAAGAGCACAUUUGGCUUUCCCAUAGAGACGUUUGGUGAGGUUAAAACUGAAACUUUUUUUUAUUAUUACAAUCUCAGAUGAGUUCAAAUCAGGCCUGGUUCCAAUAAUACUUACAUUACAUAACGACGAAUGAGGGGAACAAUCAUCACCUGACACCAACAAACGGCUAAUUCUAAGACAUGCCAUACCCAACCGUGCCUACGCUUCGGUGUGCUGCUACUGCAACCGCGGCGGCUCCAGCAGGACCGUACUGGGAUUGUGCCUGCAACAGCUUAGCAUCAAUACCCACCUUGUGCUGUGAUUGGACGACAUAAGGGUUUGGGUUCAGCUCAGCUGGCUUUGCGGAGUUGCAUUGUGUUGGGACAAACUGCGGUUUUGGCUGAGAAGCAGGUUCUGUACCACCACCACCACGCUUCUCUUGGUUCAUGGUGUUAGGAUGGAAGAAACCGUUAGGAGAUGCGGUCUGUGGAGGGGGUACUGUACUUCUGUAGUAAGAUGUCCUUGCAUCAUGUGACGACUCUUUGAGGUUCCUGUUGUUCGCAUAAGUUACAGAUGAUGAUUCCACAGCACGGCCUGGUCUAGCUGAUGGUACUCUUGGAGGAGGUCGUAAAGGUUUAGUUGGAUUAGCUGAAGUUGAUGGAACCACUCCAUUUCUUGAAGGCUCGAAAGAAACACGUCGAGUGUCUGGUGCAUUCAAGCCAGGUUGAGCAUUGGAGCUUACUAC